CUUUUUAAAUUUGUGAGUUCCUCAUUCAUCCUUUUAUUUCCUUAUACUUUUUCCUUGAAAGAAUCUGGAAGUUUGACUGUUGCAUCUCCCUUGGCCUGACAUUGCUGACUGCACACUCGAGGUUCUGUUCAACACACUGCUCUGUCCUGUGAUCGUCCUGUGAAUUGCCAGCUGAAUCCAGAGACUGGCUCAGGCUCAGGAUUGAUCCCUUUGGUCAGACUGCAGGAGGACACCUAGAUGGCACCAUUUAUGAGGAAGGAACCCUCCCUACACACUUAACCUGCUGGCACCUUGAUCUUGGACUUUCUAGGCUUCAGAGGAAAUGAGUUUCUGUACUUUAUAAAUUAUCCAGUCUCGGGUAUUUUAUUAAAGCUUACAAACAGACUUGUAUUAUCUCCUUUAUCUUGCAAACCUCUAUAGCCAUGUCCAUUUUAUUGAGGCUCAGAGAUGCUAAGGAGCCCAAGGUCACACAGCUAGUAAGGAACAGGUCCAGGCAUUCAUUCAUUAAUGAAUUCAUUAAUUCGUUCAAUCAACCAAUCUUUACUUAUUUAUUAAAGGCCUAUAAUGUGCUAGUCAAAGUCUAGAUGUUGGGAAAAUAACAGUAAUCAAGUCAAAGUGCUCGUCCACAAGGAGCUACCAUUCUAGCGGAAGAAACAUAUCCUAAAGAAAAAUACAAGUCAAUAAAUACUGUGUCAGGUGGUGAUAAAUGCUAUGGGGAAGAAAGAGGGUUAGUGAUGGCUGAAGUGGGUCUGCUGUUUAUAUAGGGUGGUCAAGGUGAUCUGGCAACAUUUGAGCGGAGAUCUAAAGGAAAUGAGUCAUGCAGAGAUCUGCAGGAAAAAACAUCACAGGAGGUGGGAACAGCCUAUGCAAAGGCCCUGGGGUGGGCACAUCUAUGGUAUGUUGGAGAGGCAGCGAGGAGUUUAGUGUGGCUGGAGCUGAGUGAGUGAGGGGAGAUAAACUUAGGUGACAGGGGUUAGAUCACGGAGGGCCUCGUGGUCAUGGCAGGAACUUCGGUUUUGACUUUGAUGAAACAGGGAGCCACUAAAGGACAACUCCCAGAACCCAUGUCCUUAAUUGCUAUGCUAUACUACUGAUGGAUUACGUGAAUGAAUGCCGAAAGGUACUUGUGGACUUUUUCUCAUUAAAACCAGCAGGAUGGUGGCCCAGAGAGUCUAGAAACAACGCAUGGAAGGGCAAGAUGUGAGUUAACAAGGAGGGCUAAUUAGGAAGGGGGAAAAGUGCCCAUUGCCUUGGUUGCCGGGAGUCUCUGAGGCUCCCACAGCACAGGACUGUGUAGGGCCCCGUGAUAGCCCCAGUGGGUCCUCUACCUGGAUUUGCAGAGUAGAUUUUCCAGGCCUGCCCCAGAUGGGUCUCAGCCCUUCCAUGAAAUAUGUCCUUUGCUAACAAGAGGCAGUGAGAAAAAGCCAACGUCUGCAAUGACUCACCAGAGAGAAAUGAAAAUUGUGCCCAGACUGGAAAAGAACCCAUCUGAAAGUGACACAUUUGCCUCCAAAAUAUAUAUACAUAUAUAUAAAGCUUUUUCUUUUCUUUUUCCUUCUCAUUUGAAGGAAGGCAGAGCCUUCUCACAUACACUGCCUCACAGCAGGAAAAUCUACUCUGCAAACUUCUGAAAUUCCUGUCCUUAUUCCUGUCGCAAUUCUAUGAGGCAAAAGGAUAUCAUAUCUGGGGAGGUGGCCAUUUCACGGCAGGACAGCAAGCGUGUGCCCUGGCAUUCCCAGGACAAUCCCAAUAGCAAAUAUUCUUCUGAUUGGCUGCCCCCCUCCCCCAGCCCCACUGCCAACUAACCAGCUAUUCUGACUUGGGAGUGCGUACGUUAAAAUGCAGAUUCUGGGAACUCUGAUUCAGGAGGUCUGGGAGGAAGCCCGGACACUGCACUUCAAAUAGAGAACCUCCAAUGAUUCUGAUACAGCCUGUCUAAGAAACGCUUCUCCAAACCACAGGAAUAGUCCCAGUAGCCCUAGCCUUCUGCAUCUAUGCUUAAAGGAUGAAGUGACUCCAAUCCUUUCUCAGACCACAGGGAGGCACAUUUUAGCUCCUGGCAGAGGUCAGAAUGCUCCUGGCCAAAUCAGAGUGGUGGAGAAUCUUGAAAUCCCAGUCCUUGCCCCUGUCCAUUCCAACUCUCUUCAUUUAUCUUCCUGACUUGAGCUUCUGGACUCUGCCGAGCAUUUGCUCUCUGGGUCAUAGCCAGGAAGGCCCCGGUGCUGAGGCAUGGAGCUGCCCUGGGUCUUGGAUACAAGCCACAGCUGGAGAGGGGGUCAGACCUUGCCUAAGCCUCUGAUCAUGAAGUAUAACAGAAAUGCCUAAUUGUGAUUAUGAAACACUGUUUCACGUCUUAAUUUGUUGAAGUUACAUGUUGACAGUAGGUACUGCCUUAGCAGGUGGAAACAAAAGGGUCCUACAUCUAUUAUUACUGUAAUUUACUGGAAUAAGGAGCCACCAGAUGCAGCCCUGGCUCACACCCCUUCCUCAUGAAUUACAAAGCUGGUCUGAGGGCCCUGUCAGUUGCUGGCUUUGGGCACCAACAUUGCUAAUUAAAAUCUUCCUGUGGUGCACUCCACUUUGUUGAGAUCUCUGCUCAGAUGCCAUCUUCCUUACCCACUGGUCUAAAUGACUCUCUUCCCCAGUGCCCUUCUCUUGUUAUUUCUAACCUCUUAGCCUACUUUAUUUUCCUUCAGAGCAUCCACCACUACUUGAAUUACAAAUUGAUUUAUUUGCUUGCUACUUUAUCAUCUGCCUUAAUCCAUCUAGAAGGUAAGUUCUUUAAGAGCUAUGACGUUGUCAUGUUCAACACUGUAUUUUGAUGCCUUGCACAUAACAGGCACUCAACUGAUAGUUGCUGAAUGAAUCAAUCAAUGAUAAAUGAAUGAAUGUUACAAUGUUCUGAGGGCCCUGGAGUCAUGUCUAACUGCAUGAUGCUCUACUUAUUGGAUCCAGUGGUCUUUGCGGACUAAGCAGAUACACAAAAAAUAACAACAGCUGCUUUUUUUUUUUUUUUCUUUUGAGACAGGAUCUUGCUCUGUUGCAUAGGCUGGAGUGCAGUGGCACAAUCUUGGUUCACUGCAACCUCUGCCUCCCGAGCUCAAGCAAUCCUCCCACCUUGGCCUCCCCGGUAGCUGGGACUGUGAAUGCGCACCACCACACCUGACUAAUUUUUGUAUUUUUUGGUAGAGAUGGGGUUUCACCGCAUUGCCCAGGCUGGCCUCAAACACCUGGGCUCAAAUGAUCCGCCUGCCUUGGGCUCCCAGAGUGCUGGGAUUACGGGUGUGAGCCUCCGCACCCAGCCAAUAGCUGUUUUAUUUAGUGCUUACUAUGUACUGGGUGUACACACCAUCUCAUUUUAUCCUCAGAGUAGUUUUGCAAGGUCGGGAUUAUUAACCCCAUUUAUUUAUUUAUUUUUUUGAGACAGGGUCUCGUUUUGUCACCCAGGCUGGAUACACUGGCACGUUCAAUAGUUCACGGCAGCCUCGACCUCCCGGGCUCAAGCAACUCUCCCAUCUCAGCAUCCCGAGUAGCUGAGACCACAGGUACUCACCACCAUGCCCAGCUAAUUUUUGUAUCUUUUUUGGUAGAGACAGGGUUUCACCAUGUUGCCCAGGUUGCUCUGAACUCCUGGGCUCAAGUGAUCUGCCUGCCUCAGCCUGCCAAAGUGCUGGGAUUACAGGCAUGAGCCACUGCAUGUGGCCCUAUUAACUCCACAUAAGAGAUAUAAAAACCAAUGACAAAGUCACCCAGCCAGUAAGGGAAGAGGCGGAAUUCAAACUUAAGUCAUUUAAUGCCAAGGUCUUCACUGUGUCUCACGACAACUGCAUUUGAUGCGAUCUAACUUGUGUUGACACUGGGAUAGGAUCCAGAGACAAGCAAGACAAGGUCCCUAAUGCCAGAAGUUCAGGGUCUAUCUCGGCAGCACAGCAGAAUAAGGAUGAGCAAGCAAUUAGAAUUCACCUCCACAUCCGAGCCUCAUCCUGUACUAGCUGAGCCUCAGCUCCCUCCUCUGUAAAAUAGAGUACUAAUUCACCAAAAUAAUGGAGCCAUAAGUCAUCAGUCCUCUGCUAUGUGAGGACACAGCAAGAAGGCAGCCACCUGCAAGCGAGAAGAGGCCCUACACCAGAGCCUGGCCAUGGUGGCACCCUGAUCUCAGACUUCCAGCCACCAGACCUGUGAGAAAUCAAUGUUUGCUGUUAAGGCUGCCUAGUCCAUGACAUUUUGUUAUAUAUAGCAGCCUGAACUAAAACAGUAGUGAUUCUGGAAGUCAGGUCUACUAGCCAAACACUGUGAACCACCGAUACAUUUAAUUCCAUUACACAGAUCCAAAGUAGUUUUAUUAUCAAACUAAAGGUACAAAGAAAAGAGUCAAGAAUCUCUAGGCAAUUAAAAAUUAGCAUCACAAUCUAGGUGCGGUGGCUCAUGCCCAUAAUCCCAGUAUUUAGGAUUCCCAGUACUGGGGAGGCUGAGGCGGGAGGAUCACUUGAGGCCAGGAGUUCAAGAUCAGCCUGGGCAAUAGAGCAAGAACCUACCUCUACAAAAAAUAUAAAAACUAGUCAGGCAUCGUGGCAUAAGCCUGUAGUCCCCACUACUUGGGAGGCUAAGGUGGGAGGAUUGCUUGAGCCCAGUUAUUUGAGACUGCAGUGAGCUAUAAUCAUACUACUGCACUCCAGCCUGGACAGCAGAGCAAGACUCUUAAAAAAAUUACCAUCACAAAUCAAUUAUGUUCAAAUCUCUCUGUUAAUAAGUAUUUCUUGAUUGGGCUGUUUAGAUUUUAGCAUCUACGUGGGCAAUACAAGGCAGUUGAGGGUGAAGGAAACUGGCAUCUCAUGGCUGGGGUGAUGCAAAUUAUUACUCUCUGUGGGCAGUUUUGUAGCUUUUACUCAAAAUCUUUAAAAUGUACAUAUUCUUUGGCUCUGCAGUUCUACUUCUGAGAAUCUUUCAUCCCACAGGGUACAAAAAGAUGUUCACCAUAGUGUUAUUUUUAUUACUGGAAAGUGGGACACAAUAUAAACAGCAGUCAUUACGGGACUGGUCCCAUGUUAGCACACAAGAACACCGGGAUGGUAUACAGCGAUUAAUAAUCAUGUGGCUUUCUCUGCUGACAUGGGAAAGUGUCCAUAAUAGUUUGUCAAAUUAAGAAGAUGACAAAACGGUACAUAAUCAUAUUUCUGUAACAUCGUAUGUAUGGGUGUGUAUGCUUGCAGAAAAGUCUACAAAAAUAUUCCCUGGAUUGUUCACAGUGGCUUUAUCUUGGUAGAAGGAUUUCAAGUGAUAUUUUUUCAAACUUUUGAUUUAACAGAUAGUAUUGUGUUAGGAAGCUAAGCAAAAAAACCCUCAAAAAACAAAAAACUAGAGUGGCCAGGAGUGGUGGCUCAUGCCUGUAAUUCCAGCACUUUGGGAGGCCAAGGCGGGUAGAUCGCUUGAGCUCAGAAGUUGGAGACCAGCCUGGCCAACAUGGCGAAACUGUCUCUACAAAAAAAUACAAAAAUUAGCUGGGCGCAGUGGUACAUGUCUGGAAUUUCAGCUACUUGGGAGGCUGAGUCAUGAGAAUCACUUGAACCUGGGAGGCAGAGGUCACAGUGAGCCAAGAUUGCACCACUGCACUCCAGCCUGGGUGACAGAGUGAGAGCCUGUCUCAAAAAAAAAAAAAAAAAGAAAAAACUGGAGUCAAUCUAAAAUUGCUUUAAAGAAAAGUGUUGAGGAAAUAAUAGAACAGGCAGGAAAGAGAUGUGAGAAAAUGGCAAAGGGGAGUGUGAAAGUUUGGCAAACACAGUUUUAAAUUCUUCAUCCUGCUCUUGCGUGGAAAGACUGUCUGCUCUUGCUUCUAAGUGAUAAACAUCUUAGUGGGAAAACCUCUUCCUUUUAUUUACCCAUUGACCCAGUUUUGGUGGUCAAUGACGCCCGCCCUUCCUGACAGAUGUUGGGGCAUGGGCCAGACAGGCCCGCUGGGUACACAAGGAUGCCCGCUCUUCUCCCUUGAUCCUGCAGUGGCUCCCUAGGGCCUCCAAGUAGGGGGAGUAGUUCUGUUGAUGGAGGGGUCACUAUGUACAAAGACUGAGCUGAAAUUUCUUGCACACCUUCUCAGAAUCACCCUAGGAGGGAAGCUUUUUGAAUGACCCCAUUUUAUUGAAAAAGAAACUAAGGCUCACAGAGGUCAAGGGUCUUGUCCAAGAUCACACAGCAAGUAAGCGAAGGACCUCACGCUCCAGUUCAGGUCGGCCUC
rnacentral:lncRNA from 10 species